GGGGAAUAUUGGACAAUGGGCGAAAGCCUGAUCCAGCAAUGCCGCGUGAGUGAUGAAGGCCUUAGGGUCGUAAAGCUCUUUUACCAGGGAUGAUAAUGACAGUACCUGGAGAAUAAGCUCCGGCUAACUCCGUGCCAGCAGCCGCGGUAAUACGGAGGGAGCUAGCGUUGUUCGGAAUUACUGGGCGUAAAGCGCACGUAGGCGGCUACUCAAGUCAGAGGUGAAAGCCCGGGGCUCAACCCCGGAACUGCCUUUGAAACUAGGUGGCUAGAAUCUUGGAGAGGCGAGUGGAAUUCCGAGUGUAGAGGUGAAAUUCGUAGAUAUUCGGAAGAACACCAGUGGCGAAGGCGACUCGCUGGACAAGUAUUGACGCUGAGGUGCGAAAGCGUGGGGAGCAAAC
rnacentral:rRNA from 1 species